AUGGCGGGGGACGGCGAGCUUCUUCCCCGGAUCGCGGUGGUCGGCGCGGGCAUCUUCGCGCGCACUCAGUACAUCCCCAGGCUCCGCGAGAUCUCCCACCUCGUCGUCCUCAAGGCCAUCUGGAGCCGCACCCAGGAAUCCGCAGAGGCUGCCGCGGAGCUCGCCCGCGAUUUUGCGCCUGGCAUCGAGUGUAAAUGGGGCGACGCGGGGCUGGAGGAGAUCAUGGGAGACCCUUCCAUCCUGGGCGUAGCCGUUGUUCUUGCAGGCCAAGUCCAGGUUGAGCUUUCCUUGAAGAUGCUCAAGGCAGGAAAGCAUGUGAUCCAAGAGAAACCUGCCUCUGGAUCGACAACCGAAGCAGAAACUGCGCUAUCAGUCUACAACUCAUUCCCAAACAAGUUGCCCUAUAAGCCAAUUUGGGCUCUUGGAGAGAACUACAGAUUUGAACCUGCAUUUGUGGAGUCAAGCAAGUUGAUGAACGAUAUUGGUGAUAUGAUGAACAUCCAAGUUAUUGUUGAAGGAUCAAUGAACAGUUCAAACCCAUAUUUCAAUAGCUCCUGGAGACGAAAUUUUGUGGGUGGUUUCAUAUUGGAUAUGGGCGUGCAUUUCAUUGCAGGACUAAGAAUGCUUGUUGGUUCGGAAGUAGCAACUGUAUCGUCUAUCUCUCGUCAUGUGGACACGGAUUUGCCACCACCUGAUAACAUUUGUUCUCUUUUCCAACUGGAAAAUGGAUGUGCCGGGGUCUUAGUAUUUGCAGUUAAUUCGAGGUCGCCAAAGAUAUUGUGGCGGGUUGAUGGAACAAAGGGAACAGUACAAAUUGAACGUGGAGUUGAUGGUGGGAAGCAUGGUUACCAGGUGCUUUUCUCAAAGGAAAGUGGGGAGUGCCAGAAGACUUUUUACCCAUUCUGUGGUGUGCAUGAAGAACUGAAAGCAUUUGUCCAUGACAUGGUGCAGGCUAGCAAAGAUGGCGAUCACAAGGCUGAACCCCGCAGUUCUUAUGUCGAAGGUGCUCGUGAUGUUGCUGUUUUGGAAGCCAUGCUUGAAUCUAGCACGAAGCAAGGAGCCAUGGUGCAAGUGAAGAAAUUCUAA
rnacentral:rRNA from 1 species